AUGCCAUUGCCUUGUUUUAAUUUUACCACAAUUCUACCCAAACGAAAUAGAAAAUUAGAAUACAUAUCUCUACAACAGAAAAAGCAAACUUCAAAAGAUAAAAGCUCUCACAAAUCGGAUCAUUAUCCUCUUUAUCAUCCUCUUCAUCAACAAUGUUUUCUAGAUUCCUCCAUAAAUCAUUACUACAAGGUCCACAACAACUCAACAGUAACAGAACACGAUACAAAGUAG